rnacentral:rRNA from 1 species
UGCCAGACUCCUACGGGAGGCAGCAGUGAGGAAUAUUGGUCAAUGGCCGAGAGGCUGAACCAGCCAAGUCGCGUGAGGGAUGACGGCCCUACGGGUUGUAAACCUCUUUUGUCGGGGAGCAAAGAGAGUCACGUGUGGCUCAUUGAGAGUACCCGAAGAAAAAGCAUCGGCUAACUCCGUGCCAGCAGCCGCGGUAAUACGGAGGAUGCGAGCGUUAUCCGGAUUUAUUGGGUUUAAAGGGUGCGCAGGCGGAGGUGCAAGUCAGUGGUCAAAUUGCGGGGCUCAACCCCGUACUGCCGUUGAAACUGCAUCCCUUGAGUGCGCGAGAAGUAUGCGGAAUGCGUGGUGUAGCGGUGAAAUGCUUAGAUAUCACGAAGAACCCCGAUUGCGAAGGCAGCUUACUAAACUGUGACUGACAUUGAUGCUCGAAAGUGUGGGUAUCAAACAGGAUUAGAUACCCCCGUACC